AGGAGAAGGGACAGCUGAGUAACAAAGUCCUGGUACGCAGACGACGAUACUAUUACACUGACAAGAGUGUAAUGAUGAUGGAGACACAAGCCAGAGAAAGGGGGACCAAACACCAGGCCAGAAUUCUGCAUGAGUCAGAUCCAGUGGGUGCAGAUCAUCAUACAGAUGGUUCAAGUGUGGAUCCACCUAAUAUUCAAGAUUUUCUGUCCUGGGACACUUGGCUAACCAUCAAGAAAGAACACACUCCAGUGGGCAUCCUUUAUCCAUCCAGACCCUCAUACAGAUGGUUGGAGUUUUGAUUAACCUAAAGUA